CAGCCGCCGCGGUAAUACGUAGGGUGCGAGCGUUAAUCGGAUUUACUGGGCGUAAAGCGUGCGCAGGCGGCCCGUUAAGACAGGUGUGAAAUCCCUGGGCUCAACCUGGGAAUGGCGCUUGUGACUGCAAAGCUAGAGUGCGGCAGAGGGGGAUGGAAUUCCGCGUGUAGCAGUGAAAUGCGUAGAUAUGCGGAGGAACACCGAUGGCGAAGGCAAUCCCCUGGGCCUGCACUGACGCUCAUGCACGAAAGCGUGGGGAGCAAACAGGAUUAGAUACCCCCGUAGUCCCUGUCUCUUAUAC
rnacentral:rRNA from 1 species